AUUGAACGCUGGCGGCAGGCCUAACACAUGCAAGUCGAAUGGUAACAGGAAACAGCUUGCUGUUUCGCUGACGAGUGGCGGACGGGUGAGUAAUGUCUGGGAAACUGCCCGAUGGAGGGGGAUAACUACUGGAAACGGUAGCUAAUACCGCAUAACGUCGCAAGACCAAAGAGGGGGACCUUCGGGCCUCUUGCCAUCAGAUGUGCCCAGAUGGGAUUAGCUAGUAGGUGGGGUAACGGCUCACCUAGGCGACGAUCCCUAGCUGGUCUGAGAGGAUGACCAGCCACACUGGAACUGAGACACGGUCCAGACUCCUACGGGAGGCAGCAGUGGGGAAUAUUGCGCAAUGGGCGCAAGCCUGAUGCAGCCAUGCCGCGUGUAUGAAGAAGGCCUUCGGGUUGUAAAGUACUUUCAGCGGGGAGGAAGGGAGUAAAGUUAAUACCUUUGCUCAUUGACGUUACCCGCAGAAGAAGCACCGGCUAACUCCGUG
rnacentral:rRNA from 1 species